rnacentral:misc_RNA from 1 species
AACGUAGGGGGCAAGCGUUGCCCGGAUUCACUGGGCGUAAAGCGGGUGUAGGCGGUCCUCUAAGUCGGAUGUGAAAUCCUGCGGCUCAACCGCGGAACUGCAUCCGAUACUGGAGGACUUGAGGACGGUAGAGGUCGGUGGAAUCCCCGGUGUACCGGUGAAAUGGGCAGAUAUCGGGUGGAACACCAGUGGCGAAGGCGGCCGACUGGGCCGAUCCUGACGCCGAGACCCGAAAGCCAGGGUAGCGAACCGG